CCAGAGAACAGAAGAGCAUCAACAGAGCAGAUCUGACUUACUAAACAUGGACAGACACUUGAUACUGAUUUUAAUCAUGACUUUAGGUGCAAAGGCAGCAGACCAGAUUGGGCCAAAUCAGGGUGAAAAAGUCAUCAGUACUGAAGGAGAGUCUGUGAGAUUAAGCUGCUCAUAUGAUACAAGUAGCAGAAAUGUUGGACUUUACUGGUACAGACGGUAUCUUAAUAAAGAACCUCAGUAUUUAAUGUGGAAAGGUGCUCGGAACUGGGGUGGUACUACUGGAACCCCUGCUGAUCGUCGCUUUCAGUCGACUACAUCAGAAAAAUCCACUGAACUCACUAUUACUGGUGUAACUCUGUCAGAUUCAGCUCUCUAUUAUUGUGCUCUAAGAGUUGGAGCCCAGUGA